GUAGGUGGCAAGCGUUGUCCGGAAUUAUUGGGCGUAAAGCGCGCGCAGGCGGUUCUUUAAGCCUGAUGUGAAAGCCCACGGCUCAACCGUGGAGGGUCAUUGGAAACUGGAGAACUUGAGUACAGAAGAGGAAAGCGGAAUUCCACGUGUAGCGGUGAAAUGCGUAGAGAUGUGGAGGAACACCAGUGGCGAAGGCGGCUUUCUGGUCUGUAACUGACGCUGAGGCGCGAAAGCGUGGGGAGCAAACAGGGAUUAGAUACCCUGGUAGUCCACGCCGUAAACGAUGAGUGCUAAGUGUUAGGGGGGUUUCCGCCCCCCUUAGUGCUGCAGCUAACGCAUUAAGCACUCCGCCUGGGGAGUACGGCCGCAAGGCUG
rnacentral:rRNA from 1 species